UACGUAGGGUGCAAGCGUUAAUCGGAAUUACUGGGCGUAAAGCGUGCGCAGGCGGUUGUGCAAGACAGAGGGGAAAUCCCCGGGCUUAACCUGGGAAUGGCCUUUGUGACUGCACGGCUAGAGUGUGUCAGAGGGGGGUAGAAUUCCACGUGUAGCAGUGAAAUGCGUAGAUAUGUGGAGGAAUACCGAUGGCGAAGGCAGCCCCCUGGGAUAACACUGACGCUCAUGCACGAAAGCGUGGGGAGCAAACAGG
rnacentral:rRNA from 1 species